rnacentral:lncRNA from 1 species
UACUCCCAGCUGCCCACAGUCAUCCUUCUCCAUCCCACUGACCUUCCACCCGUGACCAAUCAGGAGAUGUUUCCAGUUUAUUGGUGAAUUUAUUAGGGCUCAGAGAGGAUGACCUAUCCAAGGUCCCACUGCCAACUGAAUGUAGGACAAGUCUCUGAACCCAGUGUGCCCCUGCCAGAAAGUAGCAGGGAUCACAGAAGUCCAGCAGAGGUCUGCCGCCUUGGACCCCGCCUCUUACACAUUGAGUGUGGUUUCUGCAGUGAUGGGCUUCUCUCUUCCCUGGAGACGUAAAACCAGAAGGAUUCAGAAGGAUCUGCCAAAGGAAAUCUGGACCCCAUAAACGAUCAGUACUGCCAUCUGCAACAUGAGGGAGGCCUCAGAAACAGGAACCACACGGCAAGUCACCAAACCUCUAACCCAAUCUUGGAACCUACCAAUCUUGGAACCUGCAGUGGGUCACAGAAGGGAAACCAGCCAGACGUCAGCAUGCUGCUGAGACCUCGGUCAAUGAGUCACACCUGGGCUCUUGUGAAUUACAGAAUCAAUGUUGGAAGCCCAGGAAGCCAACUAAUCAGGUUUGGAACCCAGAAGCCUGGUCGUCUUGGAGUCUGGAGAGGCUUGAAGGCUCCACUGAGCCAGGGAUUUGGCACCAGAACUCUUGGGGUCAAGUCCUGGCCUACCUCUGACUAGUUGUUUCCACUGAGACACAUUAUUUCUCUCAGCUUCAGCGUCCUCCUCUGUGAAAAUGUGUGUUCUACAUACUGCUUGAGAUGAUUUCAAGGCUUAAGGGAGAUAAUGUUUGAGGAAAUGUUUUGAAAGCUACAAGGCACAAGACAAACACCACUUAAUAUUACUCAUCUUGUCUCUGCAGAGACAUCCCUCACUGGGCCAACUUCUUCCCAUCUGUGCAAAGAGUGGGGAGAGGUAGACACUGAACUGUUGUUCCUUCCAGUGCUGCCGGGUGGGAUUCUAGCCAUGUAACACCCUCCCUCUCUGAGUCUCUGGGCCCCCUCAUCCUGAGCCUCCAAAGUCUGGAAGGUUUCAUAGCUCAUGUGUCCACCAGAUGACAGUGGAAGGGCUCAGAAAGAUGCUUCCAGAAAGUCCUUCUCCACAAACACUACACAAAGUUAAGACCCUGUUCCCACCCUUGGCUCAGACCCUAAAAGAGAGAGUCACUCUCAUUUGUCUUUACCCCACUCAACCCCACCCUGGCUUUGGGAUUUCUCUACAUUCUGUAUUUUGUCCCCAGCCUGUUAACUAUAGCUUCACUGCUGAGCCAUCUGUUCUAGACCACGUUGCUGCCUCUGCCCACCACACACUUCCCUGGAGCUGGACCUGAUCAGCCAGAAGAAGCAUCUGAAAAGGAGCAUCUCAAUUUCAGCACAGUCGACCUUAACAAAAUAACUUCAGGAAGUGCACCAGCUUGGGAACCAGGACUUCGGGGUUCCCCUGCUUCUGUCAUCAGCAGCUGCACAGGCUUAUCUGAGACUUUCUCUCUCUGGGUGUGCACCUAUAAAAUGCCAGGAUUGGAUGCAGUGACUACUGCUGUGGUUCUGAGAUGGGGAGCUGGGGAGCUGGGGAGCAGGGCUGGGAGGAGAAUCAGUUGGGUGAACUCCUGGCUGGCUGAGCCCUGCAGAAGUGGUCCUGGGCUUCUCCUUCCUUCAAGGCUUGACCAAGUUCUCUCUGCUUAUGUAUCCAUUCUGUCCUCUUGCUGGGACAGGUGCUUGUUGACUGCCUGUUGACAGGAUCAUGGGAAGCAGUUUCUCAGAGAGGAGACAAGAGGAGCGGAACCCCAAGUCCUAGUGGAAGAGCCUGCAAAGGUGCCCAUAUCCACUUGGCCUUGGCCUGAGGCCUCUUGCAGCCACUGAAUGGGGACCUCUGACGUUCACUUCCUUGGAUCUCUUGAAUUCCAAUCUCCCUCUUCCCAUCUGUGCAUUC